CCUACGGGGGGCAGCAGUGGGGAAUAUUGCACAAUGGGCGCAAGCCUGAUGCAGCCAUGCCGCGUGUAUGAAGAAGGCCUUCGGGUUGUAAAGUACUUUCAGCGGGGAGGAAGGCGAUAAGGUUAAUAACCUUGUCGAUUGACGUUACCCGCAGAAGAAGCACCGGCUAACUCCGUGCCAGCAGCCGCGGUAAUACGGAGGGUGCAAGCGUUAAUCGGAAUUACUGGGCGUAAAGCGCACGCAGGCGGUCUGUCAAGUCGGAUGUGAAAUCCCCGGGCUC
rnacentral:rRNA from 1 species